rnacentral:tRNA from 1 species
GACUAACUCAGUUGGUUAGAGCGUGGUGCUUGUAAUGACAAGGUUGCAGGUUCGAUCCCUGUAUGGAACA